rnacentral:misc_RNA from 1 species
UCUCCGUUGGGGAACCAGCGGAGGGAUCAUUACAGAGUGUUUAACUUCCAAACCCAUGUGAACUUACCAUUGUUGCCUCGGCGGAGCCUACCCUGUAGCUACCCUGUAGGGUGGUUACCCUGUAGCGCCCCGCCGGUGGAUUUUCAAACUCUUGUUAUUUUUAGUAAUCUGAGCGUCUUAUUUUAAAUAAGUCAAAACUUUCAACAACGGAUCUCUUGGCUCUCGCACCGAUGAAGAACGCAGC